UACGGGGGGCGCAAGCGUUGUUCGGAUUUACUGGGCGUAAAGGGCGCGUAGGCGGCGUGACAAGUCACUUGUGAAAUCUCCGGGCUUAACUCGGAACGGUUAAGUGAUACUGUCGUGCUAGAGUACAGAAGGGGCAACUGGAAUUCUCGGUGUAGCGGUGAAAUGCGUAGAUAUCGAGAGGAACACCUGCGGCGAAGGCGGGUUGCUGGGCUGAUACUGACGCUGAGGCGCGAAAGCCAGGGGAGCGAACGGG
rnacentral:rRNA from 1 species